AUUGAACGCUGGCGGCAGGCCUAACACAUGCAAGUCGAACGGUAACAGGAAGCAGCUUGCUGCUUUGCUGACGAGUGGCGGACGGGUGAGUAAUGUCUGGGAAACUGCCCGAUGGAGGGGGAUAACUACUGGAAAUGGUAGCUAAUACCGCAUAACGUCGCAAGACCAAAGAGGGGGACCUUAGGGCCUCUUGCCAUCGGAUGUGCCCAGAUGGGAUUAGCUAGUAGGUGGGGUAACGGCUCACCUAGGCGACGAUCCCUAGCUGGUCUGAGAGGAUGACCAGCCACACUGGAACUGAGACACGGUCAAGACUCCUACGGGAGGCAGCAGUGGGGAAUAUUGCACAAUGGGCGCAAGCCUGAUGCAGCCAUGCCGCGUGUAUGAAGAAGGCCUUCGGGUUGUAAAGUACUUUCAGCGGGGAGGAAGGGAGUAAAGUUAAUACCUUUGCUCAUUGACGUUACCCGCAGAAGAAGCACCGGCUAACUCCGUG
rnacentral:rRNA from 1 species